CCUGCCACAACCCUCUGAGUCUUUCAUGUUUCCUUCCAGCCCUUCUCUAUGGGGUCAUAAUUCCAUACAUGGGAUAUUUGGAACAGGAUGGUGUAGAUCUGGUACAGGAUCACAACGUGGCAAGCAACAAUUUCGGAGGCAGAAGCAACUCCCCUGCAAGAAGAAGGUUACAACAUUUGGGACUUUUUAGUUUGGAAGAAGCCUUGCCCACCAGUCUGCAGCCUGUUCCCUUUAAACAAAACACCUGAAGGAGAAAGAAGAAAAGUUAGUCUGUUUCUUAAAAUAAACAGAAUGUUCUUUA